rnacentral:rRNA from 1 species
AAUAUCAAAGGUGAGCCAGUACAGGAUGGACCCGCGUCUGAUUAGCUAGUUGGUAAGGUAACGGCUUACCAAGGCGACGAUCAGUAGCCGACCUGAGAGGGGGAUCGGCCACAUUGGAACUGAGACACGGUCCAAACUCCUACGGGAGGCAGCAGUGGGGAAUAUUGCACAAUGGGCGAAAGCCUGAUGCAGCAACGCCGCGUGAGUGAUGAAGGCCUUCGGGUCGUAAAACUCUGUCCUCAAGGAAGAUAAUGACGGUACUUGAGGAGGAAGCCCCGGCUAACUACGUGCCAGCAGCCGCGGUAAUACGUAGGGGGCUAGCGUUAUCCGGAUUUACUGGGCGUAAAGGGUGCGUAGGCGGUCUUUCAAGUCAGGAGUGAAAGGCUACGGCUCAACCGUAGUAAGCUCUUGAAACUGGGAGACUUGAGUGCAGGAGAGGAGAGUGGAAUUCCUAGUGUAGCGGUGAAAUGCGUAGAUAUUAGGAGGAACA